CUCUUAUCCCGAGCUGGUGGAGGGACAGGCCCUAUGAAACCCAGCAACCUGCUGUCAAAGGAAAGCGAAGGGAUGCGUACUAAUGAUAUAGGAAUAAUUCUUGGCUUUUUGCCUUUGGAAGGUGCUUAUGCAUCAUUCUAAUUAGCUCCCUAUGUUAACUAGCGUAUUCCAAGCAACUAUUUCCGACGCAAAGGUGCUAACCUGAAGCAAGGUGAAAUUCCUUGAUCGAUAAGAG
rnacentral:ncRNA from 1 species